rnacentral:misc_RNA from 1 species
UCCGGGUUGGACCCGGCGGUCCCGCCAGACACCGUAACUGGCGGCGGGGGUUGCGCUCGUUGCGGGACUUAACCCAACACCUCACGGCACGAGCUGACGACAGCCGUGCAGCACCUGUGCGCGCUCCCUCGCGGGUCCUCCCCCUUUCGAGGUCGUACCACGCGCAUGUCAAGCCCAGGUAAGGUUCUUCGCGUUGCGUCGAAUUAAACCACACGCUCCGCUGCUUGUGCGGGCCCCCGUCAAUUCCUUUGAGUUUUAGCCUUGCGGCCGUAGUCCCCAGGCGGCGGACUUAUCGCGUUGGCUGCGGCACCGGGGGGGUCGAUACCCCCGACACCUAGUCCGCAUCGUUUACGGCGUGGACUAC